rnacentral:rRNA from 1 species
GAUGAACGCUGGCGGCGUGCCUAAUACAUGCAAGUCGAGCGAACAGAUGAGGAGCUUGCUCCUCUGACGUUAGCGGCGGACGGGUGAGUAACACGUGGAUAACCUACCUAUAAGACUGGGAUAACUUCGGGAAACCGGAGCUAAUACCGGAUAAUAUAUUGAACCGCAUGGUUCAAUAGUGAAAGACGGUUUUGCUGUCACUUAUAGAUGGAUCCGCGCCGCAUUAGCUAGUUGGUAAGGUAACGGCUUACCAAGGCAACGAUGCGUAGCCGACCUGAGAGGGUGAUCGGCCACACUGGAACUGAGACACGGUCCAAACUCCUACGGGAGGCAGCAGUAGGGAAUCUUCCGCAAUGGGCGAAAGCCUGACGGAGCAACGCCGCGUGAGUGAUGAAGGUCUUCGGAUCGUAAAACUCUGUUAUUAGGGAAGAACAAAUGUGUAAGUAACUAUGCACGUCUUGACGGUACCUAAUCAGAAAGCCACGGCUAACUACGUG